rnacentral:lncRNA from 1 species
AUGCAGGUUAAUCAACCCAACUCUUCCUGGACUUCGGACGUUAUGGACACUGGAGCUGAGUCUCAUGUUACUCAUAAUCCAGGAUCUCAAAACUAAACGGAUUCUCUCACGUCACAACAGCACCGGGGACCUCUAUCCAUUUACUCCACCAUCCUUGCCAUCUCAAGCUACCUUUCUUGCAUCUCCUGCUUCUCCAUGGCAUGAUCGUCUUGGUCACCCCGGGACCCAAGUUCUAGAUAUUUUAAGUCGUAAUUUCAAAUUUUCAUGUAAUAAAGACAAAUUAUCUCAUGUUUGCAAUUCUUGUCAACUUUCAAACAGUAAACGUUUGCCUUUUCAGUCUUCUAAUACUUUUACUUUUGCUCCGUUUGACAUUAUACAUUGCGACUUAU